UGCAUCGGCCGGGAAUCGAACCCUGGCCGCCCGCGGUGGCAGGCGAGCAUUCUACCACUGAACCACCGAUGC